CACCGUCAAAGGCAAAAUCACCGAAAGGUGGUGACGCAAAGCCAUGGGUCUAAAGUAGGAUCUACUAUGAUCGCCAGGCUGCCGGU
rnacentral:ncRNA from 1 species